rnacentral:rRNA from 1 species
UAGCUAGUUGGUGAGGUAACGGCCCACCAAGGCGACGAUCGGUAGCCGGACUGAGAGGUUGAACGGCCACAUUGGGACUGAGACACGGCCCAGACUCCUACGGGAGGCAGCAGUGGGGAAUAUUGCACAAUGGGGGAAACCCUGAUGCAGCGACGCCGCGUGGAGGAAGAAGGUCUUCGGAUUGUAAACUCCUGUUGUUGAGGAAGAUAAUGACGGUACUCAACAAGGAAGUGACGGCUAACUACGUGCCAGCAGCCGCGGUAAAACGUAGGUCACAAGCGUUGUCCGGAAUUACUGGGUGUAAAGGGAGCGCAGGCGGGAAGACAAGUUGGAAGUGAAAUCUAUGGGCUCAACCCAUAAACUGCUUUCAAAACUGUUUUUCUUGAGUAGUGCAGAGGUAGGCGGAGUUCCCGGUGUAGCGGUGGAAUGCGUAGAUAUCGGGAGGAACACCAGUGGCGAAGGCGGCCUGCUGGGCACCAACUGACGCUGAGGCUCGAAAGUGUGGGUAGCAAACAGGAUUAGAUACCCUGGUAGUCCACACCGUAAACGAUGAUUACUAGGUGUUGGAGGAUUGACCCCUUCAGUGCCGCAGUUAACACAAUAAGUAAUCCGCCUGGGGAGUACGACCGCAAGGUUGAAACUCAAAGGAAUUGACGGGGGCCCGCACAAGCAGUGGAGUAUGUGGUUUAAUUCGACGCAACGCGAAGAACCUUACCAAGUCUUGACAUCCCUUGACGAACAUAGAAAUAUGUUUUCUCUUCGGAGCAAGGAGACAGGUGGUGCAUGGUUGUCGUCAGCUCGUGUCGUGAGAUGUUGGGUUAAGUCCCGCAACGAGCGCAACCCUUAUGGUCAGUUACUACGCAAGAGGACUCUGGCCAGACUGCCGUUGACAAAACGGAGGAAGGUGGGGAUGACGUCAAAUCAUCAUGCCCUUUAUGACUUGGGCUACACACGUACUACAAUGGCGUUAAACAAAGAGAAGCGAGACCGCGAGGUGGAGCAAAACUCAGAAACAACGUCCCAGUUCGGACUGCAGGCUGCAACUCGCCUGCACGAAGUCGGAAUUGCUAGUAAUCGUGGAUCAGCAUGCCACGGUGAAUACGUUCCCGGGCCUUGUACACACCGCCCGUCACACCAUGAGAGCCGGGGGGACCCGAAGUCGGUAGUCUAACCGCAAGGAGGACGCCGCCGAAGGUAAAACUGGUGAUUGGGGUGAAGUCGUAACAAGGUAA